rnacentral:lncRNA from 1 species
AGACAGAGUCUUACUCUGUCACCUAGGCUGGAGUGCAGUGGCACAGUCUCUACUCACUGCAACCUCUGCCUCCUGGGCUGAGGCAGUAGAAUCAUUUGAACCAGGGAGGCAGAGAUUGCAGUGAGCCGAGAUUGCAUGGCUGCACUCUAGCCUGGGUGACAGUGUGAGACUCUGUCUCAAAAAAAAAAAAAAAAGUACCUACCUCAGGUAGGGACUGAAUAAACACGUGUAAGGCACUUUGGAAAAAUACCUGGCAUAUAUAGUAAGCAGUAUGUUGGCCAUUACCAAAGGCCCUGGGAAUUCUGUACUGCUGCUCAUGGGUGUAGUCGGUUCUAGAGGGGUGGGCAGGUGGGAGUAGCUGAGGAAGACAAGUGGCUGGAAUGGUAUCACAUGAUACACAGAAGUAUCCUCAGUUCUGAAUCUACCUUGGCCUCAAGGGCCCAGGAGAAUAACUUUUCCCAGCUGACAGCCUCUCUGAGGACAAUGACAUAUGAAUGAGGAUCAAAACGAGCUUUGGCCAGGCACUGUGGCGCUCACCUGUAAUCCCACCAUUUUGGGAGGCUGAGGCGGAGGACCGCCUGAGGCAAGGAAUUCAGAACCACUCUGG